GAUGAACCGGUGCUUGCAUCGGGGAUUAGUGGCGAACGGGUGAGUAACACGUGAGUAACCUGCCCUUGACUCUGGGAUAAGCCUGGGAAACUGGGUCUAAUACCGGAUAUGACCUUCCAUCGCAUGGUGGUUGGUGGAAAGCUUUUGUGGUUUUGGAUGGACUCGCGGCCUAUCAGCUUGUUGGUGAGGUAAUGGCUUACCAAGGCGACGACGGGUAGCCGGCCUGAGAGGGUGACCGGCCACACUGGGACUGAGACACGGCCCAGACUCCUACGGGAGGCAGCAGUGGGGAAUAUUGCACAAUGGGCGCAAGCCUGAUGCAGCGACGCCGCGUGAGGGAUGACGGCCUUCGGGUUGUAAACCUCUUUCAGUAGGGAAGAAGCGAAAGUGACGGUACCUGCAGAAGAAGCGCCGGCUAACUACGUGCCAGCAGCCGCGGUAAUACGUAGGGCGCAAGCGUUAUCCGGAAUUAUUGGGCGUAAAGAGCUCGUAGGCGGUUUGUCGCGUCUGCCGUGAAAGUCCGGGGCUCAACUCCGGAUCUGCGGUGGGUACGGGCAGACUAGAGUGAUGUAGGGGAGACUGGAAUUCCUGGUGUAGCGGUGAAAUGCGCAGAUAUCAGGAGGAACACCGAUGGCGAAGGCAGGUCUCUGGGCAUUAACUGACGCUAGASKASRG
rnacentral:rRNA from 1 species